GACGAACGCUGGCGGCGCGCCUAACACAUGCAAGUCGAACGAGAGAUGAGGAGCUUGCUCUUCAAAUCGAGUGGCGAACGGGUGAGUAACGCGUGAGGAACCUGCCUCAAAGAGGGGGACAACAGUUGGAAACGACUGCUAAUACCGCAUAAGCCCACGGCUCGGCAUCGAGCAGAGGGAAAAGGAGCAAUCCGCUUUGAGAUGGCCUCGCGUCCGAUUAGCUAGUUGGUGAGGUAACGGCCCACCAAGGCAACGAUCGGUAGCCGGACUGAGAGGUUGAACGGCCACAUUGGGACUGAGACACGGCCCAGACUCCCACGGGAGGCAGCAGUGGGGAAUAUUGCACAAUGGGGGAAACCCUGAUGCAGCGACGCCGCGUGGAGGAAGAAGGUCUUCGGAUUGUAAACUCCUGUUGUUGAGGAAGAUAAUGACGGUACUCAACAAGGAAGUGACGGCUAACUACGUGCCAGCAGCCGCGGUAAAACGUAGGUCACAAGCGUUGUCCGGAAUUACUGGGUGUAAAGGGAGCGCAGGCGGGAGAACAAGUUGGAAGUGAAAUCCAUGGGCUCAACCCAUGAACUGCUUUCAAAACUGUUUUUCUUGAGUAGUGCAGAGGUAGGCGGAAUUCCCGGUGUAGCGGUGGAAUGCGUAGAUAUCGGGAGGAACACCAGUGGCGAAGGCGGCCUACUGGGCACCAACUGACGCUGAGGCUCGAAAGUGUGGGUAGCAAACAGGAUUAGAUACCCUGGUAGUCCACACCGUAAACGAUGAUUACUAGGUGUUGGAGGAUUGACCCCUUCAGUGCCGCAGUUAACACAAUAAGUAAUCCACCUGGGGAGUACGACCGCAAGGUUGAAACUCAAAGGAAUUGACGGGGGCCCGCACAAGCAGUGGAGUAUGUGGUUUAAUUCGACGCAACGCGAAGAACCUUACCAAGUCUUGACAUCCCUUGACGAUGCUGGAAACAGUAUUUCUCUUCGGAGCAAGGAGACAGGUGGUGCAUGGUUGUCGUCAGCUCGUGUCGUGAGAUGUUGGGUUAAGUCCCGCAACGAGCGCAACCCUUAUGGUCAGUUACUACGCAAGAGGACUCUGGCCAGACUGCCGUUGACAAAACGGAGGAAGGUGGGGAUGACGUCAAAUCAUCAUGCCCUUUAUGACUUGGGCUACACACGUACUACAAUGGCGUUAAACAAAGAGAAGCAAGACCGCGAGGUGGAGCAAAACUCAGAAACAACGUCCCAGUUCGGACUGCAGGCUGCAACUCGCCUGCACGAAGUCGGAAUUGCUAGUAAUCGUGGAUCAGCAUGCCACGGUGAAUACGUUCCCGGGCCU
rnacentral:rRNA from 1 species